AAGUUUGCAGAUGAAGAUAUGAUGCUGAACUCCAUGGAUGCUAGUCUAGUGAUACCCCCGAUCACCUUCCUGUGGAUGGAUGUCCUUGUUCCGCUGUACUUUGAUGAAUAAAGGUCUCAUGCUCAACUCAAAUUGUUUCAAAGAGGAGGACUUGAGGUGUUACAUAAAGAGAAGAGAAGGAGGGUCUCAUCUUCAGGAAAUACAUCAGCCAUGGGUAACAAUGAUUUAAGUGGAGCACAAACAUCGAAUGAUAGUGCAAUGAAAGUGCAGCUCCUGGAGGGAGGGGAAGAGGAAGGGGAAGGGGAAGGGGAAGAGGAGGAAGAGGGAGGCUAGCAACAUUACUUGGGUUUGAGUGGUUAUGGGACUUAUAUGCUAGGUGCCUUCUUUUGUAUGAACAUGAACAUGUGAUGAUUAUGGACCUUCUGUAAUGAUUAUGAGAAUUAUGUUGUACUCAUAAUGAGCUCAUGUUGGACUUGCUGUGUUGGUUUUGAUUGAACUUGUUUAUGCUUGUGUUU